AGAGAUGGAGAAAAGUGUGGAGAAGGAAUAACGACAAGGGGUCCCACCUUUUCAAUUUUCUGUUUGUUCUUGUCUCGAACUCAGUGGAUCAUCAUGGGGACAGCCAAGAACAACCACUUCCCACUGAAACUUCCUCUCCUAGACAAACCCAAGACCCCGAAAAACUACGUGCAGCCCGAGGUUCUGUGUCACACCUUUGAGACUCUGUCCAGCCUUCACAGACUGCUGCCUAACCAUCUGAUGGAGAAACUUUAUUCCUACAAGAGUGAAGAGGACAAACAAAGCUGUCAGAAUUCUGAAUUCUCUGGCUUAGAAAGGAUCUUAGCAAGACACCAGUUCCCAAAAGAGAUUAAUGCGACCCCGAAGCCAAGUAGCAUGCCCCUGUGGAAAAGGAAAUCCAUCAACAACUCGAAUCGUGGGUGGAAGAAAUGCUACUUGUGGAAUAAAAACUUGGAGGUACCUCCAAUGUCAACCAUAGCCGUCAGGUGGUUGAAGAAGAACAUGCAACCCACGGAAGACCUUCAGUCAGUGAUCCAGAGGCUAUUGGUGUUUGGGCCAAUUACGUCCGUCACCCUCUGUGGUCGGCAAAGCGCUAUUGUGGUGUUCAAAGACAUGACUUCAGCUUGCAAUGCUGUGAAUGCUUUUCAAAGUAGUACCCCAGGCACCAUGUUUCAGUGCUCCUGGCAACACAGAUUCAUGUCGAAAGAUCAAGCUUAUUCAAGAAGAUGUACUGAGAAGUCACAGCCUAAGGAGUAUAAGAGGAAAGUGAAAGAAAACAUCAACCGUAGCUAAAGUUCCAUUUUGUAUCAUAGGACCGAAGUCCUAGAUAUCUUGAAAAGAUGAUGGAUGUGACAGUCAUUUUAAAUUCUGAGGGAGAAUGUGGAGAAUAUUCAAAUAGGAUGAUGUAUCUGCCUUCUAAGUACUGAAAAAUGAGAUCCUUAAGUUCAGGUCAGGACCUCCUGACCCCACCCCUGGACAAGACCAGGAGAGUUGCAGGGCUUUUUUGGACACAAAGAACCUACCCAAAGCCAACAAAUUCUAAGUAACAAAUGCCCAACUCAGUUGUAUGAAGAAGUAGCCACCAUUACUAAUCUUCCUACACAAAUCAAACAAGAGCUCACAACAAUAGCAAUGAUGCUGAAACAUUCUAGUUGUUGAGUGAAACAGACAGA